rnacentral:lncRNA from 1 species
GUUAAUUCAUAUUCCUUUUCUUGUGAGAAAAGAAACUGGGAAAUUCUGGUUUGGCAGCUUGAGGACCUGUGAGUGACAAGCCUUUUGAGGGUGUGCCUCCAACUCCCACACUCUGUAGGUGUAGGCGGGUGGGAAGAGCACGGGAGGAGCUCUUCACUUCCCAACUUCAGAUCCAGUGAUUUCUCUGGAAUUCACUUGCUUGUCAAGAGCACAUGACAAUCCAUGAGUGACAUGGGCUGCCAUUUCUACAGUUACAUUUUGAAUGUUUCAGGGGUUUGACAUUUGAACCUUGGCAAGAGGUCAUCAAACGUUGGUUUAAAGUGCCAAAAUUAGGAAACAAUAUCUUGUACUGCUUUUUAAGGUUUGUACUAUAAGCCAAGGAGUGUCAUGAUUUUAUUCUUACAUUUUAUUGGUUAGCUGUUGAAUUUAAAUUUAUUACCAUUUGAGUAGACUUCUUCAUUACUGCAGGUAAGGAAAGGUGAGGCAUAGGUCUUUCUAAGAUGAUAGUGGACACUAUAACUUAUCCCAUAAACCACAUUGCCUCUUUACCUCCUUAUUCCAUCCUUAAAAGCAUGGCAUUAGAUAAAGUAGAUAAAAGACAGUGAAAGUCUUGGACCUAUUACACUGAUUUAGAUGUUACCUCAUGUCCAGAAAUACUGUACAAGCUAAUCACAGGCUUAAGAGUAAUGUCAACAGCAGGGGUUGUGCACUGCAGUCCUGGCCACAGACAUCUAAUCUUUCUUCCCUCCUUUUUCCUUAUGUAACCCUUGGUUUCUCAUGGCACUGGCUCUGUCUCCAGACAACCCCCAAACUUUCUUCCCCCACUGAUCAUCUGAGAAGGUAUGUGUGUCUUCCACCAGGUACAAGAUCCUUUUUUUUGAUGGUGGUUUUGGGGAUUGAACCAGGG